GUUCUGAUGGGACUCUGAUGAAGGCGGAAGGAAUCGCUGAAACAUGUCAGGGGCCGCCACGUAAAGGGUGAGGCUUCCCGUGGACUAAAGGUGCAUGUUUAAAUAAAACAGUCCCAAGGUUGCCUCUCUGCCCCAGACAACCACAUCGUCUCUGUAACUGGAGAAGGACCCGUCCAGGAAACACAUGAUGGAGACGUCGGCAUGCCUGCACCAGGCGCGUAGCCAGUAAUGGGCCUACACACAUUACUGCCGCUAGAGGAGGUUAGCCCUGCCGCUAGAGGAGGUUAGCCCUGCCGCUAGAGGAGGUUAGCUCUGCCGCUAGAGGAGGUUAGCCCUGCCGCUAGAGGAGGUUAGCCCUGCCGCUAGAGGAGGUUAGCCCUGCUGCUAGAGGAGGUUAGCCCCGCCGCUAGAGGAGGUUAGCUCUGCCGCUAGAGGAGGUUAGCCCUGCCGCUAGAGGAGGUUAGCCCUGCUGCUAGAGGAGGUUAGUCCUGCCGCUGGCUCGUCGGCACCAGCGCUCUACUCCGGUCAACCUGCGCUACCCCUGCAUUUAUCCGCAAUUGAUGAACCACCUUCACAGCCAAGUGUGGGUGUAUUUAGGCUACAAUAGUGGCAAAUAGGCUACUGGCCUAUAUAGCCAGGUUUUCAUGCUCUGUUGGUUGAGUAUGUUGUGUUUAAUUGUCAUAAUGCAUUUGUAAUGCAGAUUACAAAGUAAAAUUGACACUGCCUUUAAUCUGUCUGUUUGUCAUGUUUUCUGCUUAAAAGUUUUUAUAAGUCCGCUUGUUCUGGGACAAAAUGGCCCACCCAUUUUUGUCCUGGCCCACCCAAAAAAAUAUUGCUGCCUACACCACUGGCCUGCACAGGAUCAACAGCAAGUUUAUACUACGCUAUGCAUUGUGGGAGCGGACUCGCAGCGGGGGCAGCGACGAGUCAGAGAUGCCUGAAUCAACAGUUUUUGUCAUGCAUAUUUUGUACACAUACAAAGUUGAAUUUGCCUCGUCUGCAGAAACGCCGUCCCCUCUUUCAUUGACAUUUUCAGGUUUCGUAAUUUUGACUAAAGGACUAAAACUAAACUUCAGUUCACACUAUUUUGGUAUUUAAUAAAAGUUCUCGCUCCAAACCUUUCAGCAGUGGGCGUUGGUUUGUUUUGACUGGGAAAUGUUCCUUUAACUCUCCGUUCCCGCCGGCUGCAGCAGGCGGCUGCGCGACAGUCAGCAUUAUUCAGCAGCGUCCUCCUGCAGCCUGAAGCGUUCUGUAGAUUACAGUGAAACUGGUGUGUAAUGAGGCCGCAGAUGGCGAAGCACAAUGCUUCCUGAUGUCUCCGUGCGCUUGCAGUCAUGUAAUCAUGAUGGUCAUUUCUGCAACACUGAUGCCUUUUGUGCAUCGUCGUGACAGCAGGCCACUCUGAGGCGGGCAGUUCUUUCAAACCUUUUAAAUGCAACGACCUUUGAAAUCAGCGAAUGAACUCGCUAUCGAUUGAUCUGACAGGAUUUGGGGAUUUUUUUAAAUACAAAUCCUUAAAAACAUGUUGAAUCUGACAUACAGUGGCUUCUGAUCGAUGUGCAGUACUUUAUGAAUAAAAAUCACCACGCUACGCAUCAAGUAAUCACCAGAAUUCAUCAGAGCUGGAAAUGGCAAGAAACUCAAGGAACUUCUGCCUGGUGGUGCUGUUGAAGACUUAACUAACUUAACAACAACUUAACUACUGUAGAGGGUUUUUUUUCAGCUACUGGAUGCCCUAAAUUUCCUCCGGGAUUAAUAAAGUAUCCAUCUAUCUAUCCAUCUAUUUAUUGUGACAACCCCUCCCCUGAUGUUGGUGGCACUGUGGUUGUUACUAACUUUUUAUUUUCCUGUUCCACAGCUGAGGAAAAUAAGCCACGCCUGAUUUCACUCCCCCUGUUUACUCUCCCUAAUGGCCUGGGCUAUAAAAGAGGUCAGAGAAGGCAGUUCUCUCUCUCUCUUCUCCCAGGCAACGGGAUGUUGGUUUGGUUGUUUUGGGUUCAGUUAGAGUUAUUUUACUUUACAUAUUCCAACACUCCAUCACCCCCAUACACUCACUACAUGACUGACAUUACUGAUGAACAUAUUUCCCUUUACUUUUGCAUAUAAUUUAGUUGGGUUCAAUAAAUUGUGUUUCUUUAAUCCA